UCUUGUGAUCCCAGGACUUGGGAACCUGUG
rnacentral:piRNA from 1 species